UUACGACCAUAUCACGCUGAAACACUAGUUCUCGUACAAUCACCGAAGUUAAGCAACGUCGAGACUGGUCAGUACAUAGAUGAGCGACUAUUUGGAAAUACCAGGU